rnacentral:pre_miRNA from 1 species
AAUAUACUCCCUCCGUUCCGAAUUAUUUGUCUUAGAUUUGUCUAGAUACGGAGGUAUCUAGCACUAAAAUAAGUCUAGAUACAUCCGUAUCUAGACAAAUCCAAGACAAGUAAUUCGGAACGGAGGGAGUAUAUG